UAUGUUCAUUCAGUUUAUUUGGCUGUUGUCUGUUUAUAUCCUUGGAGCUUUUUCAGUUCCUUGUGGAAAAGAGCAAAAUAUACAAUCAUCAUUUAGUUUAUUUCUUCAGAAGUGUCCACAUUAAACAGUGAGUUAAUUCAGUAGAGGUGCAUGACAUAUAGUUUUAUAUAAAUGUAUAAGCACCAACACAGCAUACAGACUAUAUACCACAAAAGCAACAUACACAGUGCAAAAAAUUGUCCUCCAUCAAUACUCUGAUAAUCUGUAUCUUCUGGAUACACCAGUUUUAUUCAGGAAUGUACUUUAGGGGCACAGGGAAAAAAUUAACACAAAAGAAAUAGAGACACGAAGAUACCCCAAUAUCUUCCUGGUGAUACCUACACUGAUUUUUAGGGUGCCACGUCCUCACUGCUGUUCCACAAAGCACAAGAGCAUCAGUGAAAGUCGUACGGGCUCUAUGUCUGAGCCCAGCUGGGGGUUAUCAGUUCAGAGGGGUGACAAGAGCUGUGCUGGAAGAUGCUGUGAUGUUUAAGCCACUACUCCAACAGUAAAAGGAUCAUUUCCCAUGUGCCAUCUCCGAGGGCUGGAGCCUGGAGCUCUGGUCAGGGUUGGAGCUCUGUCUGCCCUGCUGUGUGCCCCAGCAUGCUGCCUGUGCUGGCUGCCCCUGCUGGCAGGUCCCCCCUCACAGCCUGUGGGCAGCUGGGUGGGGGUUUUUCUGCUGUCUCCCCACUGCUGGCAGGAUUUCUUGUGACUCUACUAGCCCAGCCUGAGCUAGGACAGUGUGACCUGGCCCUCCCUCGGCCUUUGGGACACUUGCUGGAAAUGACCCAGACAUCCCUUAGCCACAACAGUCCGCGUUGUGUGCAGCCCCUCUCUGUGCGUGGUGGACACUGCAUCAAAGGGAGACACCUUGAUUUAUUUUUCCCCCUCCAGGUAAUAUUUGCAUACUCAAGAAGAGCAGCAAAAUCCUUCCUGCCUCUUCACUGCUGACCUUACUGCAUGGCUCCCACCCAAGGACUUGCAUAAAUGCCCCUGUCCCAGCCCAGGGUUGUGCCAGAAUAAAAGGCACCUGUGCUCUGGCAUCUGCCAGGAAGCUGCUGGCAAGGGAGGGAGAAAAGAAGGAAUUGUGAGGCCAGGAACCAGCGCUGCUGCACCGGCCAAAGAGUGAGUCACGCCAGCGAAGCGGUGACACAUCCCGAAGGUUCCACGGGUGACCGAGCAUCCGGGUGAGACGGCGGCACAGUUCCCUUGUGCCGGAUGGGAGGAAUUGCGUGAGGACAAGUUUUAUAGGCGGGCUGAUGUAACGCUAUCGGACAGGAAGGUGUGGAGGCAGUGCCAUGGGAGCAGGCAGGUGCUGCUCGGCCGGGAGGGAUUGGCCCUGGCUCCCCCGAGGCUCUGUGUGCCGGCUGCUGGCGGUGCUGUUGUGCAGCGCAUCCUGCCGGCUCUGCUGCUGCGAGAGAAAAACAAACGAGGGAAGCCAGAGCCGCUUCUACUGUGAAAAGAGAAAUCAGCUCGAGCCGUGCUAAGCCCCUGGUCCGUGGGCCCGGCACAGCCAAUCUGCUUUCAUUGUUUUGCAGGACUCCUCUGCAACCCAACGAUGACAAAUACCAGGAAUUAGCGCAGUGUAAUUACUCCAUAUUAGCUGAAUUCACAGUAUAGACACAGAUCAUAAACAGCCAUUGAUUAUUCCUAAUUUCACAUUUUUACCAUUCUGAAUUGCAGCAAUUAUGCCUGUCUGAGGGAAUUAGCUUCUCUUUCAACCCUGCAGGUUCCCAGUCACUGCCCUUCCUUUCAGGGACAUUUUUACUGCUGAAAAAAGGGACAUUCAACACAAAUCCCUCCAUACUUCUAAAAUAAAAUGUCCUCCCCUUCCCCUCUCUCCUCAGUCCCAAAAUUCUUCUGACUUCCCAGCCCAAAGGUUGCUCCUUUUGCUGCCAGCUACCUGCGAUGCCGGUGGGUGCUCGGUGUGUUCUGUCAGAGCUGGACACAGCUCUUUUCACCCUGGGUUGUUGCAGGAACAUCCACAGCCCUGGCUCUUGGUGCAGGUGUUGCAAAGACGCCUGUGGGAAGGGGCCUGGGCACACCGAGGCUCAACCUCCAUUUCCUGUUGCUGGUUGGUCCAUGCAAGCAGCACUCCUGUUCAAGAAUUGUCUCUUUUUUAAAAUAGACCAUGACAUGAUUUUCAAAAGCUAAUCUGAACCCCUGGUGAAAUUGCGUUAGGGCUCUCUGUCUCCAGCUGGGUAACACCUGCACCUUUCCCAGACAAGAUCUGUGAGGGAGGCUGGCAGACCUCAACACCUCCUUGCUACAGACUGCAAGCAGUAUUUAAAAAAAAAUGAAUGUAGAUAUAAAUUAUUAAUAUUUGCAUGGGAAAUUUCGAACCCUAUUAGUAUCAUAUCGCUGAAUUUGUUUCUUGCGCACAGGCAGUGAUUUCAUUACAAAGGGCAGCAGAGCGUAAUGCCAGCUCUGCUGUGCUGACUUGGUCAAUUAAUGGUGAGAGGGGAAAGAAUCUGUUGUUUGUCCACGGCAAGGCCUUUGGGACUUUUCCUUUUCUUUGCCCUGGUAUAUUCUGAGGGGUGGUGGGUGGCUGCCACUGGGCACGUGCUGCACUCACAGAUGUGCUGGGGUGUUAAGCUGGAACUGGGGGGCUCAGCCCAGAAAAAAGGAGGCUCAGGGAGGUCCUUACUGCUCUCUACAUCUCCAUGAAAGGAGGUUGUUGCCAGGUGGGGGUUGGUCUCCUCUCCCAAGUAAUGAGCGACAGGACAAGAGGAAGUGAACUCAAGCUGCACCAGGGGAGUUCUAGGUUGGGUAUUAGAGAUAAUUUCUUCACCAAAAGGGUUGUCAAGCUUUGGAACAGGCUGUCCAGGGAGGUGGAUGAGUCACUGAGGGAUUCAAAAGAUGUGUAGAUGUGGCUCAUGGGUCAUGGUUUAGUGCUGAACUGGGCAGCGCUGGCAGAACAGUUGGACUCGAUGACCUUAGAGGUUUUUUCCAACCUAAACAACCCCAUGAUUAUAAAGUUCUAUAAAGGGAUGAGGGUCUGGAAAGCCUCUGGUCCAAAGCAUUUCCCACUGCUGGUGUGGGACAGGGAGUUAUUUAUUCCAGGCAGUGGCUGUGGCCAUUGAGCAGCAGCAGCAGUUUUUUAUUGCAUCCAUUCUAGGACACUGAAGAAAGAUUAUGCAUGCUUGCACCAUGCCAGCUUUUUAUUAGAUUGCAGGCAGGGGUUAAACUGAUCCUUGUCAGCACAAAUAUAAUGCCCAGGGUGAUGGGAGCAGCAUAAAUUGAGGACAAGAGGUGGCCGCUUUUACCACGGCUCUCAAGAAUGCUCUGCUGUUUUACUGCAUCAUUUGCUCUUUAAUUGGGACAUUUCCCUCUGGCCAGGGGAUGUCUUUCCUUUUUUUGCCAAUGAGGUGCAAUAAAUAAAUGGGCUGAGACACAUACUCUGAGGGGAGGUGAGGUACAGAGGGCAGAUGUGUGACUGUACCAGAGCCCUUUGAAUGUCCCCAGUUUCCCACAGUGGCGCCUGUUCUGGUACGUCCUUCCCAAGCUGGGCACACGGGCAGGGCGUCCUGCAGGAGUGCAAAUCACACAGGUGCUUCAUCUAUUUGUCACCCCCAUUUUUUUCAGAGCACUCACGUCAUGAGGGGACUGACCCUAGUGCUGGGUCAGUGGGGUGUGUGUUUGUGGCCAGUUGUGGUGUGCCUGUGUCACUAAAAAGCAAAUAUUCAAAGGAGCAUGUGAGUCCUGCACACGGGGCCAGCCAGAGCUGCUGAGUGCUUACAGCACAGCAGGAUAUGGGGGUCUGGCACAUGGCCACCCCAGCCUGGGGCUGCAGGGCAGCUGGGGGGUGAAUAAGGCCCUCAUUCAGUUGUUCUGUUACUAUUUACCUGCAGUAGUAAAUUAUUUAGGUGUCUUCCACCCCUGCUCCCCACCCUCCCUGUGCUGCCAGCAGAGGAAAUCCUGCUUUUGUGCUGCUAAUGGACCUCACAGAUCCAGUAAAACAUUACAGUGCAGACAAAAUGUCUCUUUAAAAGCGCAAUAGAAAUUCAAACUCUCCACUGAGAACAAAGCCAGUGGGGCUUUUUGCAUCUCCUGUUUUUAUUGUAUUCUGUAACAUUUGUAAAGUAGAUCACUUUCAUCGAGGGAGUCUAUCUCCUCUCCUGAGCUGUAAUUCCUAGACUUCUUAAAGAAGAUUUCUGCUCACAAAGGAAAUAAAAGAUAGAAAUAUGAUGCUCUCUGACAUUUGAACACACUACUGAGAAUCUGAAUUAAAAGGAACAAACUCAGAAAGUAUCAUUUAUACAGCAAUCAACUUUAAAAAGUCACCAUCUGCUAAGAGUUACCACCUGGUGUAGCUGUGUCUUUACUGCUAGACAGAGAAUAGGAAAUAACUCAGGGAACUCUCCUGCACCUGCUGGGUUUUUCCUGGCGCCGUGCAUGCUCCGAGCCGUGGUGGCUGGGGAGCUGCAGGGUGCCUAUUGCAACUCUCCUUCUACUCCAGCUCACUACAGAAUAUAAAUCUGAACACAGCUGCCAUUAGCAGGGGUGAUUUGGGGUAGUUCAAGUUAUAGCUUAGUGUCAGUUUUUCAGAAAGUCCAAAGGGCAAGAGAAAUAACCACAGCUGGAACAAGGGACCUGGAUGUGGCUUAUAUUUAGAAAUCAGAUUUUUUUCUUUGCUUGCUGCUCACCUUCUUGCUGUCCCCCACCCCAAUGACAUUUCCUGGUUUCUCAUAGCCCUUUCUAGUUUUGUCUUCCUAUUUCAUCAUAAUUGAUGAUAACAUUAACAAAUUCUUUGCUCUGUGCAACCUGUCUAGUGCUCGCCUUGCAGUAUUUUGCCUCAUUUUCGUCUUCCACUGUUCAUCAUCUCCUAGAAAGGUUGUGAACUUUUUGAUAUAAAAAUUUCCCAUCAAAUUUUAUGUCUUCCACCAAGACCACUCUGUGUUCAGGUGAUUCUUAGCACAAUUUAAUCCUCUGUGCAGCCACUGCUCAGUGUCAUUCCCUCUGUCUUGGUAAUUGUGAUGGUUUCCCUCUGACCUCUCCAUGCACAAAACUCAACUAUGGCAACACAAUUCCAUGCACUACUUCAAGUCUUCGAGUUUUUUUUUGGAAGGAACUGGGAACUGAGCUACAUUCAUGAGGUGUAUCUGCUGAAAAAGUGUGGAAAGGCUUGUGCAAGUUAUUUCUGCAUUGUCUGCCUUGAGUUUAAUACCACAGCACCAAGUGCUGGGGAGCUGCCACGGCUUUUCCCCACUGUUCCCCAUUACUGUGCAACAUUUAUCACAGACUGCGUGGUGCAGAUGCAAGGAAACAGGGCACAAGAAAUGAAUUAAGAAAAAAAAGAAGUAUCCCAGAAAAUUUUCCUUGUGUCUGUGGCAUCACUGAACCCCAUCACUGCCAAGGCUGCUAAGGGGCAUCAUCAUUAUUUGAACUGAUGCAACAACACCUAUCAUGGCAGGCAAUUGCAUUCCUCUCCCCUUUUAGGACUGUAAAGCCUCUUACCCCAUCCCUCAGGAGGCCACUGUGUCCUGUCUCCUUUCCAAGGUCUUGUCUUGUUGCAGAGGCUGAGUAAGGGAUUAUAGAAAGUCAUGUUACUUUGUGCCUGGGGAAAGAUGCUUUUGUCCUCACCCUCAGUUAUCCAUUCCUGUGUGUGUUUGUAGCUCUGUGCUGGCUUUGGGAAUGAGAGUGCCUGCUGUCCUUGCUGACUUGCUUUAAGGGUUUUAAUUGCAUUUAAUCACAAAGGUCUAAUUAAAGUUUGGAAGCUUUAUUUGAGGGCAUUUAAUAGAUAAAUUAGUUAAAUUAAUUGUGGUUUGUUGUAUACAGAGAUACCCUUGGUUUGGCAGAAGGGCAGUGAACACAUGCUCUGAUGACAAAUAUUUCCAGGCUGGCUUGUGGGUCUGGAGUGCCCAAACCCCUGGAGAUUGAUGGUUGGUCUUAUGGGGCUGUGAGUGUCUUCUGCUGGCUUUCUAUCAUCAUCUUCAUUAUCACUUAUACAACCUCAUUUAUUGCAAAAUUAAAUAACUCUUUAAAAGCUGGAUAGGAGUCUGCUGUGAAGCACAUAAACAGCCUGCACAGGGGCAAUUGCCAAGUGCCAAAAUGGUCUGUUCAAGGUAAAGUUUCACAUUUUAAGCUUCUUUUAGGUGGAGGAUAAACCUCAGGAAGAUUCAGAAAGCAGACUGACACUGCAUUGAAGGACACCAAAUAACAUCUCUAUUUUUCCCUGUAAAUCAGCUGCCUUGGAAACCCACACUCACAUUUCAUUGGUGACCUGCUUUGGAUUUAUCACAAGGAAAAAUCAACAUGCGUUGAAUUGUCUAUAAUCCUUCCUCAGAUGGAGGGGGUUGAAUGAGCUGGGAUUUUGUUGCUUUGUUGAGAUGAAAUGUAAUUACCUUAUGGGGCUUUGCAUGGUGUGUUAAAUUCUGCCAGUAUUAAAGUGUGAUACAAGCUAUAGAACUGUGCUGCUUGCUGAAGAUUUAUGGAAUAAAAGGUAUAAU